rnacentral:tRNA from 1 species
GGUUUCACAGCUCAGUUGAUCGAGCAUCGCACCGGUAUCGCGGAGUUCACGGGAUCGAAUCCCGUUGAAGCACU